GGGCUAUUAGCGCAGUCAGGUAGCGCAUCCGGCUCUUAACCGGCAGGUCGGGGGUUCGAUUCCCUCAUAGCCCG
rnacentral:tRNA from 2 species